rnacentral:rRNA from 1 species
UACGGAGGGGGCUAGCGUUGUUCGGAAUUACUGGGCGUAAAGCGCGCGUAGGCGGGUCUUUAAGUCAGGGGUGAAAUCCUGGAGCUCAACUCCAGAACUGCCUUUGAUACUGAAGAUCUUGAGUUCGGGAGAGGUGAGUGGAACUGCGAGUGUAGAGGUGAAAUUCGUAGAUAUUCGCAAGAACACCAGUGGCGAAGGCGGCUCACUGGCCCGAUACUGACGCUGAGGCGCGAAAGCGUGGGGAGCAAACAGG